CCCUGGGGCUGGGCAGGCUGAAGCGGUUUGAACUGCCUCUGCCUCCUUGGUCUCCGGCAG
rnacentral:miRNA from 1 species